GAUGAACGCUGGCGGCGUGCCUAAUACAUGCAAGUCGAGCGAACAGACGAGGAGCUUGCUCCUCUGACGUUAGCGGCGGACGGGUGAGUAACACGUGGAUAACCUACCUAUAAGACUGGGAUAACUUCGGGAAACCGGAGCUAAUACCGGAUAAUAUAUUGAACCGCAUGGUUCAAUAGUGAAAGACGGUUUUGCUGUCACUUAUAGAUGGAUCCACGCCGCAUUAGCUAGUUGGUAAGGUAACGGCUUACCAAGGCAACGAUGCGUAGCCGACCUGAGAGGGUGAUCGGCCACACUGGAACUGAGACACGGUCCAGACUCCUACGGGAGGCAGCAGUAGGGAAUCUUCCGCAAUGGGCGAAAGCCUGACGGAGCAACGCCGCGUGAGUGAUGAAGGUCUUCGGAUCGUAAAACUCUGUUAUUAGGGAAGAACAAAUGUGUAAGUAACUAUGCACGUCUUGACGGUACCUAAUCAGAAGGCCACGGCUAACUACGUGCCAGCCGCCGCUGUAA
rnacentral:rRNA from 1 species